rnacentral:rRNA from 1 species
AAGUCGAACGAAGUAGCAAUACUUAGUGGCAGACGGGUGAGUAACAUGUAGGUAUCUGCCCUUUGGCCUGGAAUAACACGAGGAAACUUGUGCUAAUACCGGAUAAGUCUUUACGGAGAAAGCUUUAUGCACCAUUGGAUGAGCCUGCACUUGAUUAGUUUGUUGGUAGGGUAAUGGCCUACCAAGACUGUGAUCAAUAGCUGAUUUGAGAGGAUGAUCAGCCACAUUGGGACUGAGACACGGCCCAAACUCCUACGGGAGGCAGCAGUGGGGAAUCUUGCACAAUGGAGGAAACUCUGAUGCAGCGAUGCCGCGUGAGUGAAGAAGGCCUUUGGGUUGUAAAGCUCUUUCGUCGGGGAAGAAAAUGACUGUACCCGAAUAAGAAGGUCCGGCUAACUUCGUGCCAGCAGCCGCGGUAAUACGAAGGGACCUAGCGUAGUUCGGAAUUACUGGGCUUAAAGAGUUCGUAGGUGGUUGAAAAAGUUGGUGGUGAAAUCCCAGAGCUUAACUCUGGAACUGCCAUCAAAACUUUUCAGCUAGAGUAUGAUAGAGGAAAGCAGAAUUUCUAGUGUAGAGGUGAAAUUCGUAGAUAUUAGAAAGAAUACCCAAUUGCGAAGGCAGCUUUCUGGAUCAUUACUGACACUGAGGAACGAAAGCAUGGUAGCGAAGAGGAUUAGAUACCCUCCGUAGUCCAUGCCGUAAACGAUGUGUGUUAGACGUUGGAAAUUUAUUUU